GGAAGGAUCAUUAACACGUUAUCCAUACGUUAACCAAUUGUGAAUCGUUUUCGCCCUCCCUUCACUUAGAAUGAGCGGGGUUUGUAGAGGUCGUAUCAGGGAUUGUUUCGACAAUUUAGCCUCUACUUACUAUUUUAUUGAGACAGAAAUGUUUCUUAAGACGCUGUAUCUAUUGUGGAGAUUAAUCUCGCUAGCGCUUUCCUCUUACGAGAGUUAGUCGGGAACUAUAUUAACUUAUUUCACCUUUUUGCUAGUUGACUUUUAUAUGUUGGGUUUAAUGCAUUGCGUUCUACUCACACGUUUAUUAUUUGAACGUUAAAAUUACAACUCUUAGCAAUGGAUAUCUUGGUUCUCGCAACGAUGAAGAACGCAGCGAAAUGCGAUACGUAAUGCGAAUUGCAGAAUUCAGUGAAUCAUCAAAUCUUUGAACGCAAAUUGCGCUCCUGGGUAGCCCUAGGAGCACGCCUCUCUCAGUAUCGGUUCAACAAUCUCUCAGCAGCGUGUUUGCAAUUGAUUUAUUUCUUUUGUUUAUUCGUGUUGGCUGGAUAAUGAGAGUCUGUGUGCUUGCAUGCAGUCUCUUUAAAUACAUGGAGUGAACAUCAACUUUUCGAUCAGCGCUGUAUUUAUUUAUGGCUAGCCAGUCUCUGACUGUUGCUCGAAUAGUGACGUGAAUAUUGGCCUUCGUGGUCUUCCUUUUACGUGUAUCUAUUUGUGUGACACUUUAAGUCAGUAAUUGGUGAACGAUUUGUUUAGAAGCUGUUUGCGUGAGAAAACCAUAUGAUUUGUAGAGCUUGCUCUAUGAGUCUGAAUUUUGAUCUGAGAUGAAGCGAGACAACCCCCUGAAUUUAAGCAUAUUAAUAAGUGGAGGAAAAGAAACUAACAAGGAUUCCCCCAGUAACGGCGAGUGAAGCGGGAAGAGCUCAAUUUGAAAAUCGAUUUCCUAAACGGGACAUCGAGUUGUAGCCUAGAGACGUACUAUCAGCUGAAACCUGGGUAUAAGUUCUUUGGAAUGAGGCAUCAUAGAGGGUGAGAAUCCCGUUUAUGACCCAAAGCUUUCAGCGUACGAUGUAUGUUCAUCGAGUCGAGUUGUUUGGGAUUGCAGCUCUAAAUGGGUGGUAAGUUUCAUCUAAAGCUAAAUAUAGGCGAGAGACCGAUAGCGAACAAGUACCGUGAGGGAAAGAUGAAAAGAACUUUGAAAAGAGAGUUAAAAGUACUUGAAAUUGCUAAGAGGGAAGCGCUAAAAACCAGUGAUACGUUGGGUCAAUCGCUUUCAGCCCCCCUAGUUUGCGUUUGUAAUGGGUAACCUUGCUCUCGUAACCGAAAAGGUGGUUGUUUGUUUAUGAUCUUUCGUCAGUCAAGAUCAAUUCGAAUUGUGGGAGAAGGUAGCGAGAAAGGUAGGUGAGCAAUCACUGUUAUAUUCUUGUUACUCUACCUCGGCUUGGAUUGAGGAAGUAAUGGUGCGCCGCUUGCGGCUUGGUCCUGCGUUUCUAUUGCUCUAUUUGCUCUCAUAGCAAUGCUAUGUUUGUGGAAACAAGUAAUACUGGGCGUAGUGAUUCUAUGUGCCAUCACGAUCUUGUACGAAAUGGUUUUUAUCGACCCGUCUUGAAACACGGACCAAGGAGUCUAACAUCUAUGCAAGUAUUUUGGUGCAAAACCAUGAUGCGUAAUGAAAGUAAAGGCAGUCUUGUACUGCUGAGGUAGGAAUCCCCUUAAAAGGAGGCACUAUCGACCGAUCAUCACUUGUGAAAGAUUUGAGUAAGAGCAUAUCUGUUGGGACCCGAAAGAUGGUGAUCUAUGCCUGAACAGGGUGAAGCCAGGGGAAACUCUGGUGGAGGCUCGUAGCGAUACUGACGUGCAAAUCGUUCGUCUGAUUUGGGUAUAGGGGCGAAAGACUAAUCGAACCAUCUAGUAGCUGGUUCCCUC
rnacentral:misc_RNA from 1 species